rnacentral:rRNA from 1 species
AUUGAACGCUGGCGGCAGGCCUAACACAUGCAAGUCGAGCGAGCGGCGGACGGGUGAGUAAUGUCUGGGAAACUGCCUGAUGGAGGGGGAUAACUACUGGAAACGGUAGCUAAUACCGCAUACUAUCAGAUGUGCCCAGAUGGGAUUAGCUAGUAGGUGGGGUAACGGCUCACCUAGGCGACGAUCCCUAGCUGGUCUGAGCGGAUGACCAGCCACACUGGAACAGAGACACGGGCCAGACUCCUACGGGAGGCAGCAGUGGGGAAUAUUGCACAAUGGGCGCAAGCCGUAUGCAGCCAUGCCGCGUGGGUGAAGAAGGCCUUAGGGUUGUAAAGCACUUUCAGCGGGGAGGCGUUACCCGCAGAAGAAGCACCGGCUAACUCCGUGCCAGCAGCCGCGGUAAUAC